rnacentral:rRNA from 1 species
CCAGCUCCAAUAGCGUAUAUUUAAGUUGUUGCAGUUAAAAAGCUCGUAGUUGGAUUUCGGGUGGGUGCUAGCGGUCCGCCUCUGGUGUGUACUGCUAGCGCCCAUCUUUCAGCCGGGGACGGGCUCCUGGGCUUCACUGUCUGGGACUCGGAGUCGGCGUUGUUACUUUGAGUAAAUUAGAGUGUUCAAAGCAAGCCUACGCUCUGAAUACAUUAGCAUGGAAUAACACGAUAGGACUCUGGCCUAUCUUGUUGGUCUGUAGGACCGGAGUAAUGAUUAAGAGGGACAGUCGGGGGCAUUCGUAUUUCAUUGUCAGAGGUGAAAUUCUUGGAUUUAUGAAAGACGAACUACUGCGAAAGCAUUUGCCAAGGAUGUUUUCA